GGUCUAUGAUUCUUUCUUUUAGUCUUGUAAAAACGUGGCAUAACAAAAAUGUCUCGUCACGCGGACGUUGAAAGUGAAAGAUGUGACGCCCGAUCAGACCAAAGGAUUCGCUUUUCAUACCGGAGGAUGUUGAAGCUCGUGAAAGAUUCACGGCACGUCCAAGAUUCUCUCGAUGCGUCACAUUAAGCGAGUUAUAAGGAUAUAUCCGAAGCGGCGCUAUCAAUAUCACGACGGCAGGAAGUCAGGAGAAAUCACUGUUACGCCUGAUCACUUCCGCUUUGACGAUAAAUCAGAAAACGCAUGGAGAGACAGAUUUGUUAUGCAGAGAAGCAAUAUUUCAUCUAGAAAUUGCGAACGUAGCGGAAUUUCUAUAUUUAAUCGAUGAUCAAUAAAAAAUUAGGACAUGCAACUUUUUAAUUUCAAGCUUCGAAAGAUCAUUAGACAUUCUCUGUUAAUCUUACUAAAUGAAAUUGGCAAAUAGAAUUACCGCGAGACGAAGCAAAAUUUUACCUGGCGUGUUACAAAAUAUUACAAUUGCUCCAAUUUCAAGAAGACCAACGGAUCUCCAUAUUCCACCAAGCCUUACAAGUUUCAAGCGAUAGAAAAUGAUUCCACCAUGGAGUUAAUCGAGCUGGCUAGAUCGUUCCACUUUGUUCAAUUGAAUGUAGACCCUCAGGAGCUG
rnacentral:misc_RNA from 1 species